GGCCAGGCCAGGGUCUCAAACCGAUCCGCGGCUGUGCCCGUGCCGCGCCACGCUUCGUGGUUCAUCCACUCGCCACCGAGGAGCAGCCCGAAACAAUGGCGCUCGCCGCCCCUUCUUCCCUCCGCCGCCUCUCAGCCACGCCGCCGCAGGCGCGGUCUCCGCCCGCGGCCUCCCGCCUGCGCUCGUACCCUCUGCGCGAGCCCCGUCUCCGUCUCCGCCAGCCCCUCGUCGCCGCGGCGGCGGCCACAGCCCCGCUCUCUGCUUCAGCCUCCCCCGCGGAAACGGAGCGGAGGAAGCACGAGCUGCUGCGCGCGGUUCAGGAAACGCGGCGCGGAUUCGCGGCGGGGCCCGACCAGCGCGGCGCCAUCGAGGAGGCCGUCGUGGCCGUGGAGGAGCUCGGCGCCGGGGAGGGGGCGCCGCUUGAUCUCGCGGCGCUCGAUGGCACAUGGAGGCUAUGCUACACCUCGGCGUCGGACGUGCUCGUGCUGUUUGAGGCGGCCGAGAGGCUCCCACUCCUACAGGUGGGGCAAAUCUACCAGAAAUUCGAGUGCAAAGAUCAGUCAGAUGGUGGAAUUGUGAGGAAUGUUGUACGGUGGAGCAUCGAGAACUUGCUAGAGGACCAAGAAGGUGCAACACUGAUGGUCUCUGCAAAAUUUGUUGUCCUGUCUAAGCGCAACAUCUUUCUUCAAUUUGAGGAGGUCGCUGUUGAAAAUAUAAAGAUUAGUGAGCAGCUUCAAGCACUAAUAGCUCCUGCUAUACUUCCUCGGUCAUUUUUGAGCCUUCAGAUAUUGCAGUUCCUUAAAACCUUUCGAGCUCAAGUUCCUGUUAGUGGUCCUGAAAGACGAUCACCUGGAGGACUAUAUUAUCUUUCUUACCUUGACCGUGAUAUGCUGUUGGGUCGUUCGGUUGGUGGUGGGGGAGUAUUUAUUUUCACUAGAGCUCAACCUCUCAUAUGAAGGUUUUCUGAUAACCAAGAGAAUAUCAUGUGACGACAUGGCAGCUGUAUUUGAGUUUGCCCACUUACAAGAGAGACCCUUGUUUAGAUCAAGGUUGUGCGGAGUCAUGGACCAUAACACAGAGCAGUUGUUAGGCAGGCAGCAAGCUUCUUUGCUGAAAUUGUGGCAGUGGCAGUGGCAGCCGAUUAGGUUCUAAUGGAAAGUAGGAUAUCAUGUUUCCUCGAUUGAUUCAUGACUGUACAUGAUCAUAACUACACCUCAAAAAUUGCACAUGCCCAAGCUUGGGACUGGGAAUUGAACAAAUCUACUUUGGCUCAACUGUACUUAUGCUACACUCUUGUAGCACACAAGGCUGCUUUACAUUCUAUUAAACCAUGUUGCUCCUACUUCA